UAAUUACUCCCUCCGUCCGAAAAUACUUGUCAUCAAAAUGGAUAAAAAGGGAUGUAUCUAGAACUAAUAUACGUCUAGAUACAUCCCCUUUUAUUCAUUUUGAUGACAAGUAUUUCCGGACGGAGGGAGUAAAUC
rfam:Triticum urartu cultivar G1812 contig83628, whole genome shotgun sequence.